GACACAUUAAAAUUGUUUGCUGAUUCCUAGACAAUGAGUUCUUCCAUUUUCAGUGGAAGUUCGGAAAAGUUCAGAUGCCAAGUUUGAAUCAUAGCCAUGUGGAUUGAUGCCAGAGAAUUUUGCCUCAUACAAGGUGGCUAUCCAGCAGCACUUGAGCUACAUGAAAUGCCAGCAGUUCAGGUGCAGUCUCAGGCCAUGACCAUGGCAUGAUUACAGCAGAAGUGUUCCACCUGCAGCUUCUGGAUCCACAGGCUACCAGAGCAUUUCCACUGAAUUUCAGAACGUUGGUGCCAAGUGCCAGUAAGUUGUGCCUAAGCUUUCAUUUAAAGAUUAUUUUUUAUGGUAUUACAAGUAACAGUUAUAUUUUGAAAUAAUACACUUGCUUUUCAACAGUAC
rnacentral:lncRNA from 14 species